rnacentral:rRNA from 1 species
CGGCGGACGGGUGAGUAACGCGUGGGUAACCUGCCUCAUACAGGGGGAUAACAGUUGGAAACGGCUGCUAAUACCGCAUAAGCGCACAGUACCGCAUGGUACGGUGUGAAAAACUCCGGUGGUAUGAGAUGGACCCGCGUCUGAUUAGGUAGUUGGUGGGGUAACGGCCUACCAAGCCGACGAUCAGUAGCCGACCUGGGAGGGUGACCGGCCACAUUGGGACUGAGACACGGCCCAA